CGUCUGUCUGUCAGGAGGCAGAGAGGUGGUGGACUGGAUUUUGCUUUAUCACAGGAGUUCUUCACCAGAAACUACCUGCAGCCCGGAGACUGCUUCCAUCACGUUUUUAUAUACAACCAAGAUUAAGUCCAGCAUUAUUUGAAAUCACAGGUUUGCAGAUCCCUUCUUUUCAUGGGUUAAAGAAAACAUAUCCUGCUCUGCUGCAUUGAAAAUGGAAAACUACAAAAGUCGGAUUUUCUUGUCUUUUGUCCCCAU
rnacentral:lncRNA from 1 species